CUGUGGAUUUCCUGUGAACUGGUUGUU
rnacentral:piRNA from 1 species